GCUGUGGCUGGGUAAAACAGUAGGUUUGAUGAGAUUGUUGGCGGUGGUUUUGUAAGAUUUUAACAAUGACAAUACUACAAGGGCCGAUGAAAAAAGGAGGAAUCUUAUCAACAGCCAAACAUCAGUGAUGGAGUCCAAUACUCCCAAUCGGUCAAGCCAAACAUCAUAGAACUGAUAUAGAGUUUCCAAACCUUUGAUUUUGUCACUAUGUUAUGUUAGAACCCGCCCAUGCCGCAGAAAAAUUUAAAAAAAUUUAGACGCAGCGGAAGAGGCAUGUGCGGGAUC
rnacentral:lncRNA from 1 species